rnacentral:rRNA from 1 species
UACGGAGGGAGCUAGCGUUGUUCGGAAUUACUGGGCGUAAAGCGCACGUAGGCGGCUUUGUAAGUUAGAGGUGAAAGCCCGGGGCUCAACCCCGGAAUUGCCUUUAAGACUGCAUCGCUUUGAAUCCGGGAGAGGUGAGUGGAAUUCCGAGUGAUAGAGGUGAAAUUCGUAGAUAUUCGGAAGAACACCAGUGGCGAAGGCGGCUCACUGGACCGGUAUUGACGCUGAGGUGCGAAAGCGUGGGGAGCAAACAGG